rnacentral:lncRNA from 12 species
AUGUUACAUCAUCAGCUAUGGUGGUUGCAGAAGACAGGAAGGAGGGAAAAUCACAAACCAAAUGCAGAAGUUCUGGGUGAAUGCCUUAGAGGGAUUCAAGGUGGAGUGCGACUCCCUACUGAUGACAAAACUCAAAGUCAGAACCUAUCCAGGCAAGGGGAUGUGAUUGGCCAGGUCCCUGAGGCUGUUCAGGAGAGCAUGAGAGUGCUGGGGCGAGCCUCCGUCAACUUGGAGAAAAGGUAACGCUCAGGCUGUCUUUGAAAGGCCAUUAGAAGCAGUGAAAGACUUGGGGCUUUGACCCAUGGAGGCUUAGAGGUUGUGGUUAACAAGCAAACAGAGGACCUCAGCCCGCGGCCCAUCCUCGGGGUGGAGUGCACUGUUAUCUAGAAGCCCGGCUGUGCCACAUUUACAGGAAGCAAACCCAGCAAAAUGAAGAGACUGUCAGCAUUAGCGAGGCCUCCACCAAAGCCCCUCAGGGGAGAAAAUCAGGUUUGGCUCAGUUGGGAAGACCCCAGAGAAAACCUUUAUUUUCUCAAUAAAGAGAUAAGAUGCCAAAAUUCCUCA